UGUGCCUUGUGGUCGAGUGGUAAGGACACUUGCCUCUCACGCUGGAGUCCCGGGUUCGAAUGCCGGUCAAUAUAU